rnacentral:rRNA from 1 species
UGAGUAACCUGCCCUUAACUCUGGGAUAAGCCUGGGAAACUGGGUCUAAUACCGGAUAUGACUCCUCAUCGCAUGGUGGGGGGUGGAAAGCUUUUUUGUGGUUUUUGGAUGGACUCGCGGCCUAUCAGCUUGUUGGUGGAGGUAUGC